rnacentral:lncRNA from 1 species
AAACUUAAAUGUUUUAUUAAUCUGUGUGUCGAAGUCUAGAACGACAAGUAAAAUGAAACGGAGGGAGUACAUGAUUAACCACUUGUGCUAUGAUUAACCACUUGUGCUAGUAUAAUAACUUUACUUAUGUAUGCAAAGGAAAACAAUAUUACAUUGGGCACAUCUCCAAAAUAGCACAUUUCUAAGUUUAUGUUACAAAAAUAAUCCUCAAAAACUAAAAUGACCAAAAUAGCAUUUUAUCUUUUGAAAAUUUUAAUUUUUUUUUUAUUUUUCAAAAUUUGAAAUCUUAUCCCAAAACCCCACUCUCCAACUUUAAACCAUAAAACCUAAACUCUAAACUCUAAACCUUAAAUCCUAAACCCUAAACCCAAAAUUCUAAACCCCACCCAUUAAUUCUAAACCUAAACCCUAAACCCCACCCCUAAACUCUAAACCCUAAACCCUAAACCCUAAACUCUAAAUCAUAAAC